rnacentral:rRNA from 1 species
AGUGAACGCUGGCGGUAUGCCUAACACAUGCAAGUCGAACGGCAGCACAGUAAGAGCUUGCUCUUACGGGUGGCGAGUGGCGGACGGGUGAGGAAUACAUCGCAAUCUACUUUUUCGGGGGGGAUAACGUAGGGAAACUUACGCUAAUACCGCAUACGGCCUACGGGUGAGAUCAGUGGAUCUUCGGACCUUUCGCGAUUGAAUUAGCCGAUGUCGGAUUGGCUAGUUGGGUGGGUAAAGGCCCACCAAGGCAACGAUCCGUAGCUGGUCUGAGCGGGAGGUCCGCCAACAUGGGACUUAGACACGGUCCAAGACCCUACGGGGGGGAAGAGGAGGGAAAUUUCGGCAAAGGGCGGAAGCCUUGCGCAACCAAGACGGCGUAGUGAAGAAGGUCUUCGGAUCGUAAAGCCCUGUUGUUGGGAAAGAAAAGAAGCAGGUUAAUCCACGGCUGUUCUGACGGUACCUAAAGAAUAAGCACCGGCUAACUUCGUG